GUGGGGAAUAUUGGACAAUGGGCGAAAGCCUGAUCCAGCCAUGCCGCGUGUGUGAAGAAGGUCUUCGGAUUGUAAAGCACUUUAAGUUGGGAGGAAGGGCAGUAAGUUAAUACCUUGCUGUUUUGACGUUACCGACAGAAUAAGCACCGGCUAACUUCGUGCCAGCAGCCGCGGUAAUACGAAGGGUGCAAGCGUUAAUCGGAAUUACUGGGCGUAAAGCGCGCGUAGGGGGUUUUGUAAGUUGGAGGUGAAAUCCCCGGGCUCAACCUGGGAACUGCCUCCAAAACUGCAUGACUAGAGUACGGUAGAGGGUAGUGGAAUUUCCUGUGUAGCGGUGAAAUGCGUAGAUAUAGGAAGGAACACCAGUGGCGAAGGCGACUACCUGGACUGAUACUGACACUGAGGUGCGAAAGCGUGGGGAGCAAACAGGAUUAGAAACCCCGGUAGUCC
rnacentral:rRNA from 1 species